AGAGUUUGAUCCUGGCUCAGGACGAACGCUGGCGGCGUGCUUAACACAUGCAAGUCGAACGGAAAGGCCCUGCUUUUGUGGGGUGCUCGAGUGGCGAACGGGUGAGUAACACGUGAGUAACCUGCCCUUGACUUUGGGAUAACUUCAGGAAACUGGGGCUAAUACCGGAUAGGAGCUCCUGCUGCAUGGUGGGGGUUGGAAAGUUUCGGCGGUUGGGGAUGGACUCGCGGCUUAUCAGCUUGUUGGUGGGGUAGUGGCUUACCAAGGCUUUGACGGGUAGCCGGCCUGAGAGGGUGACCGGCCACAUUGGGACUGAGAUACGGCCCAGACUCCUACGGGAGGCAGCAGUGGGGAAUAUUGCACAAUGGGCGGAAGCCUGAUGCAGCAACGCCGCAUGCGGGAUGACGGCCUUCGGGUUGUAAACCGCUUUCGCCUGUGACGAAGCGUGAGUGACGGUAAUGGGUAAAGAAGCACCGGCUAACUACGUG
rnacentral:rRNA from 1 species